rnacentral:rRNA from 1 species
CCGGCACGGGUGAGUAACACGUAUGCAAUCCACCUGUAACAGGGGGAUAACCCGGAGAAGUCCGGACUAAUACCCCAUAAUAUGGGCGCUCCGCAUGGAGAGCCCAUUAAAGAGAGCAAUUUUGGUUACAGACGAGCAUGCGCUCCAUUAGCCAGUUGGCGGGGUAACGGCCCACCAAGGCGACGAUGGAUAGGGGUUCUGAGAGGAAGGUCCCCCACAUUGGAACUGAGACACGGUCCAA